UACGGAGGGUGCAAGCGUUAAUCGGAAUUACUGGGCGUAAAGCGCACGCAGGCGGUCAAUUAAGUCAGAUGUGAAAGCCCCGAGCUUAACUUGGGAAUUGCAUCUGAAACUGGUUGGCUAGAGUCUUGUAGAGGGGGGUAGAAUUCCAUGUGUAGCGGUGAAAUGCGUAGAGAUGUGGAGGAAUACCGGUGGCGAAGGCGGCCCCAUGGACAAAGACUGACGCUCAGGUGCGAAAGCGUGGGGAGCAAACAGG
rnacentral:rRNA from 1 species